UACGUAGGGGGCAAGCGUUGUCCGGAAUUAUUGGGCGUAAAGAGCGUGUAGGCGGCCAGGUAGGUCUGCUGUGAAAACUCGAGGCUUAACCUCGAGCUGUCGGCUGAAACCAUCUGGCUAGAGUCCGGAAGAGGAGAAUGGAAUUCCCGGUGUAGCGGUGAAAUGCGCAGAUAUCGGGAAGAACACCCGUGGCGAAGGCGGUUCUCUGGGCCUGACCUGACGCUGAGGAGCGAAAGCGUGGGGAGCGAACAGG
rnacentral:rRNA from 1 species